rnacentral:rRNA from 1 species
UACGUAGGGGGCGAGCGUUGUCCGGAAUUACUGGGCGUAAAGGGUGCGUAGGCGGCCUUUUAAGUCAGAUGUGAAAGGCUGCGGCUUAACCGCAGGACUGCAUUUGAAACUGGAAGGCUUGAGUGUCGGAGAGGGUAGUGGAAUUCCCAGUGUAGCGGUGAAAUGCGUAGAUAUUGGGAGGAACACCAGUGGCGAAGGCGACUACCUGGACGAUAACUGACGCUGAGGCACGAAAGCUAGGGGAGCAAACAGGAUUAGAUACCCUGGUAGUCCUAGCCGUAAACGAUGGGUACUAGGUGUAGGUGGUUUCGAUACCAUCUGUGCCGCAGUUAACGCAAUAAGUACCCCGCCUGGGGAGUACGGUCGCAAGACUGAAACUCAAAGGAAUUGACGGGGGCCCGCACAAGCGGUGGAGCAUGUGGUUUAAUUCGAAGCAACGCGAAGAACCUUACCAGGUCUUGACAUCCCUGGACAGCCAUGGAAACAUGGUGUUCCUUCGGGACCAGGAGACAGGUGGUGCAUGGUU